AUCAGAUAAUCAUGCAUUUUGUCAGGGAUUUCACUCUUUUUAGAUGACCAGGGCCUCCAAAUUAGAACCUAGAGCUCAGAUAUUAGCAUCUCAAACGAUGAAAUACAUAAUGUCAAAUUUGUACAAAACGGAUGCACUUUAAUCAAUUGGCAAAGAUUUCAAUUCAGGACUAUUGUUCAUUUGAGUAUCACAGAGUUAAAACAUCCAUGGUGUUUUCUUUAUUUUUUCUGCGAUUGCACUGGCAACUCGAAAACAGCCAAAUCAUCUCCUAUCUUUCCUCCAUUUUGUAAUUGCUCUUCAAUGCAAAUUAACUCAAUCCUCAUAUGUGCAUGUAACUGGAAUCGGCAAUAUUGGAAAGAAUAAAUUACUGCAGGACAGAGACUAAUAAAAGACAAGUCAACAAGUACACCAACCAUCUUGAAGAAGCCCAUUGGAAUGGGAGUGUUUUUCCUAAUUAAUGUAAAAAAAAUUUAUUUACAUAAAUAAUUUAAUUUUUAACUUAUUUAUCAGAUUGAUGUAAAAAUAAUAAAAUAUUAUUUUGAAUGACGUUUUAUCAUCACCACGUCACCCUCUAUUUUUCACGUAGACGAC
rnacentral:lncRNA from 1 species